UUGCCAGACUCCUACGGGAGGCAGCAGUGAGGAAUAUUGGUCAAUGGGCGAGAGCCUGAACCAGCCAAGUCGCGUGAGGGAGUACUGCCCUAUGGGUUGUAAACCUCUUUUGUCGGGGAGCAAAAGCCGGACGUGUCCGGCUGUGAGAGUACCCGAAGAAACAGCAUCGGCUAACUCCGUGCCAGCAGCCGCGGUAAUACGGAGGAUGCGAGCGUUAUCCGGAUUUAUUGGGUUUAAAGGGAGCGUAGGUGGAUUGUUAAGUCAGUUGUGAAAGUUUGCGGCUCAACCGUAAAAUUGCAAUUGAUACUGGCAGUCUUGAGUACAGUUGAGGUAGGCGGAAUUCGUGGUGUAGCGGUGAAAUGCUUAGAUAUCACGAAGAACCCCGAUUGCGAAGGCAGCUUACUAAACUGUGACUGACAUUGAUGCUCGAAAGUGUGGGUAUCAAACAGGAUUAGAUACCCUUGUA
rnacentral:rRNA from 1 species